rnacentral:tRNA from 1 species
UAUCUUUUGGUGUCUAGCACGUAAAGUUUUGAACUUUAAAGAAAUAUUAGUUAAAGAUAG